UACGGAGGGUGCAAGCGUUAAUCGGAAUUACUGGGCGUAAAGCGCGCGUAGGCGGCUUGGUCAGUUGGGUGUGAAAGCCCCGGGCUUAACCUGGGAACUGCAUCCAAUACUGCCAGGCUAGAGUAUGGUAGAGGAGUGUGGAAUUUCCUGUGUAGCGGUGAAAUGCGUAGAUAUAGGAAGGAACACCAGUGGCGAAGGCGGCACUCUGGACCAAUACUGACACUGAGGUGCGAAAGCGUGGGGAGCAAACAGGAUUAGAUACCCCUGUAGUCC
rnacentral:rRNA from 1 species